AUUAAACGCUGGCGGCAUGCCUUACACAUGCAAGUCGAACGGCAGCACGGGGGCAACCCUGGUGGCGAGUGGCGGACGGGUGAGUAAUACAUCGGAACGUGCCCUGGAGUGGGGGGAUAACGCAGCGAAAGCUACGCUAAUACCGCAUAUUCUGUGAGCAGGAAAGCAGGGGAUCGCAAGACCUUGCGCUUUGGGAGCGGCCGAUGUCGGAUUAGCUAGUUGGUGGGGUAAAGGCCUACCAAGGCGACGAUCCGUAGCGGGUCUGAGAGGAUGAUCCGCCACACUGGGACUGAGACACGGCCCAGACUCCUACGGGAGGCAGCAGUGGGGAAUUUUGGGACAAUGGGCGGAAGCCUGAUCCAGCCAUGCCGCGUGAGUGAAGAAGGCCU
rnacentral:rRNA from 1 species